UACGAAGGGGGCUAGCGUUGCUCGGAAUCACUGGGCGUAAAGGGUGCGUAGGCGGGUCUUUUAAGUCAGGGGUGAAAUCCUGGAGCUCAACUCCAGAACUGCCUUUGAUACUGAGGAUCUUGAGUUCGGGAGAGGUGAGUGGAACUGCGAGUGUAGAGGUGAAAUUCGUAGAUAUUCGCAAGAACACCCGUGGCGAAGGCGGCUCACUGGCCCGAUACUGACGCUGAGGCACGAAAGCGAG
rnacentral:rRNA from 1 species